GACGAGGUGGCCGAGUGGUUAAGGCGAUGGACUGCUAAUCCAUUGUGCCCCGCACGCAUGGGUUCGAAUCCAAUCUUCGUCG
rnacentral:tRNA from 1 species